AACUCCAAAAAUGAUGAUUCUUGGCCACAUAUAUCAUGGUCGACGACUAACCAACACAAACAUACUAUCCUUGAUGGAAGCGCAUUUCCUCCAAAGAUUGUCUCUUUUGUCCUCCGAUGUUUGGACCUUUUUGAUUGAUUCCGGCACUUGUCAACCUUAACAACUUUGUGUGGAUCAUUUAGCAACUCAUCAAGGUGGUAACAUUUGAUGAUAACUCGAAGCUUUCUAUCACAUAGGAUCAUGGAAUUCUUUUGCCUUAGUUAAAUUCUAACACAAUUAUUAUGUUUUUCUUUGGACAAGUUGCUUGGUUUGGUUGUUUUGUUAGUUGGAUUUGGUUGUUGAACAUGAAAUUUGAAUUAAUAUUAUAUUUGAACUUUUAUUA